UCUGCAAGAAGGUGGGACAGGUGAUAUCUCCCCACCCCCACCCCUGGAGCCCUGGUGGCGGAAGAACCGGCUCAAAGGCGUCCCAUCCCACCUCUACGUCAGGGCAUCCUCCCGCCGACACAAUGACGUCACACAGGCAAGAGCACAAGGGCUCCGCGACGCCUGCAGCGUAUCUUAUUUACGUACUUUCAUGACGUCACAAAUGGGCCCCGCCUGAAGCGCUGUCAUUACUGCUCCCACAUUUCCCAGCCCCGCCCCUCGAAUCCUGCCCAUAGACGCGCCAAGAAUCGGUUCAUCCCCACCGAUAGGAUCUGCAGCCCCGAAGCAUUGGCAGGUGCUCUUAGAGAAGGAGGGUGCCCAGCAGCCUCUGCCUGCGGGAUCGGAUGGUUUAGAAAGGUCUCCCAGACCGCAGGGUUUCAGGGCAGGGGCGGCCGCUGGAUACUCGCUCCACCCACCUGGCCCCGCCCUACCCGUCGGUCUCCCCGCCCACUGCGCAGGCCCGGCGCGCAUGCGCAGAAGGAACUCACCGCCCUGCGCGGCGGGCGUGUGAGCGCUCACUCCUGCGGCGGUCCUCCGCGGUGGUGGGAGAUUUCGGUGUCCCGCUUUCAGAGAUCACAAAUUCAGGGUAACGCUGACCCGGCGGGCGCAUCCAGCCGUUGACGUUUGUGAGCGCUGACAUUGCCGACGAGGAAGACGGCAGCUCCGGGUUUAAUGCCGGCUGGAGACCCUUGGAGUUCCUAUGGCGUCUCGAACCCAACGCAGACGGGAUCUGACAGAGGUCCCUGGGAUUCCAGCUGGCAGGGGUGGUUCGGCCGGGCCCUGCCCUAGAUCAGAAAUUCCAGUCCAUCCUCAGCCUUUUCGGACAGGGUCUCUGAGGCACAGGUCUCAGCCUCCAAGCCGGGCGGAGCUCUUAGAGGCACUGGCUUAUCACCCACGCUCUGGGUCUGGCCGCGCUUUCCGGGUUGCCUCCAGAGCCAAACAGAUGGUUGGGCCCAGGUUGCAUACGUUUGCAAUGAAAAAUUCACUAUGGACAUGAGAUAUUAGGAAGGCGUCAAAGCUGAUGUCAAUGGCAGAGGAAGAAUUAGAAGCUGUGUUUCCUUUGAGGUCUGAAGAUCCAGUUCUAGCUUUUCCUAGCACAUACAAGCUUCGGGCAAAGCCCCUCCACUUCUAAGCCUCAUAAUGGGGAUGAUAUUUUUAUCGUCUGCCUCGUUUGGUUGAUACAGAGGUCAAAGUCAUAUUUUCCCAAUCAUUUAUUCACUACUUGAACCAAAACUGGACCCUAAUGUGUUGCAGAAUAACUUGGCAUCUAUGAAGCACCAUGUAAAAGUAUUAUUAGAAAUACUUCUCUCAGCAUCCUGAAGUAGCCUGCCUCCCAAGCUGCCUUAUUCCUAGGAGAAUCUUCCUCCAUCAUCACUGUACCUAGCCCAGGGAACCUGACAGGGGAUGAAAGAAGGGUAUCUCACCUGGACUGGUGGUCUUGAAACCUGGAAAAAAAUGAAACAAGACAAAGAUAGGAAAAGACAGGAGAGUGUUGGGGCGCAGUUCUGGCUUUAAACUCAGAUGCCUGCAGAAAGUCUGGAACCUCACAGGUGGCUGGGUCCUUAUGAAACCCAAGGGAAACCCGAACCCAGGCUGUUUCCAGUGCAGCCUCUCUCCUCCCUCUGCUUUUAGGGGGACCCAUCACCACCUCCUCUUCUGGGUUUCUCCAGGCUUGGAGCUGGCAGCAGUCUCAGCCUUUUGACCCCAGGUCGAGUUCUCCAAGCUGUAACCCUGAAGCCUCCCACAGAGAUGGCUUUUCCAGGCCUGCUGCUGACAGAUGCUGCUUUACUACCUGGAGAUGAGCCUUAGGAGGCUGUGUGUAUUCAAAGGGAGAAGAAAAAGGAAAUAGCUUAAGGUCAGUUUAAUUUCUCUGUCCACUUAAUUCCAUGUAGGGUACAUGUGGCUUGUUUUUAUUUUCAUAUAAAGAUGUAUGUUCCUGAUUUCUUGAAGCUAUAUGUUGCUAAAGAAUGGUUUGCAUAUCUUGAAGUUGAAUGUGUUAGAUAAAAUUAUAUUUUUGAUAUUUGAUGUUAAGAAAGCAUCUUCCCAAACACCAACAAUGCUAAAAUUUGUGCUGUUAGCCCAUUCGCAAAACACCUAAUUGGCUUCUUGGUGAGUUCUUUUGUAAUCAAAAAGGUUAGGAGUCUCUUCCACCUGUUCCUACCACAGACCCCUGCCCAGCAAAGUGUAACAUACAGCAGGCUGAGAUGAGCUGGUCUGUACACUGGAAAAAAGGGGGAUAUGGGAAAAAUGAACAACCUUAUCAGGCCAUUAAGGGGGUCUUGGUUGAAGAUUUCAGUUUGUAAUGUAACAUUGUUAUAAUAGACAGAUGGGGGUGAAGAGGAGCUUGAUUUGACCUUUUAUAGUUUCCAAAUGUUCAUGAAAGGCAGUGUACCUUUAGUUGUAAAGACCUGUGGCUUUUUGAACCAUCCGGUAUGCUGGUGAGUUUCUUUAAAAUUGUCUGUCUUAUAAUAAAAGCCUGCAGGCUUCAGACUGAGAUGGAUCUAGAUUCAGGCGCCUGCUUCAGGGUCUACUGGGCCUAUGAACUUGGACAACUCAGUUUUAUCAUCUGUAAAAUGUGGGACUUCAUAACUGAUAUGGAGAGUUUUUGUGAACUUUAGUGAAAAUGGAUGCAAAAUAUCUGGCACGUAGUUGGGACUCAAUAGCUUGUGGCUUUAAUUAUCUAGUUUCUAGGGUAAUGCAUAGCAGUGUAAAGAUGUAAGAAAUAUUUGCUGAAUUUGCUUUCCCCCUCAACUCAUCUUCUUAUGUUGAAGAAUAGAUGUAAUAAUCUGGGGAAAACAUCUUCACUUGAUAACUUGACCUAGGAAUUAACUUAUAUAAGCAGUCCCCAGUUUAAAAAUUAAUGAUCUUAACCAACUCUGUCACUGAGACAGAUUUUAGGGUGACAUUUCAGGAAUAUAAUGAGUCAAAUUAGCAUCCAUGGACAUCCUUGAUAUAGACACAGUGUUUCUCCUUGAUGAUUCCUGCUUCCAACCUAGAGCUCAGGUGGAGAAAUAUAUCUCAGUUUCCAUCUAUGAAUGUGGUCACUAGUAGCUCAGGUCAAAUUUCUUGCUCAUCGGGUUUGAGGAGAAGUACCCUUCACAUGGGCAUGGGGCAAGUCAGACAUUCAUAUGCGUUGGACAUUUGCAUGUUAGGUGUUCAUAUUCCAGCUGAGUUGCUGGACAGCAAAAGAGCUAGGGGUGCAGCACUUGGAAGUUGGAUGUGGCACACAUGAGAGGACUUGGGAUGAAGUACAGGGGAAGAAAUAUACCAUGUUAUGCCCUUAACCAUGAGUAAUGACCUUGACUACACAUAAUAUUAUUUGCUUAUAUAUUUUAUUAGGUAAACCUUCUUUAAACUUAUUUAAAUAAUGUCAAUAAUUAAGGGACAUAGACUGACUGAUGUACUUUAGUUUCCUUGCAUGAUAAAGGGAAUCUGUGAAGUUCAGGUUUUUGAUAGUUGAGUAUGAGUGGGCUUUGGGCAGGGAAGAGGAUCACACUAAAAAUCCUUGACCUAGUUCCUAUAGGUUGCACUAAAAAUGAGGUUUGGAAUUGAAAAAAUAUAUUUCUAAAUUGGCAGAAUAAUCCCCAUUUAUCUUCCUCCACAAUGAUAGAAUGGGAACAUUAUCCAAACUGUUGAUAUUUAUUUGCAAGAAACUGCUCAUCAUAUUUUUGACUUUGACUUUUUCUUAUUCAAUCUUUUAUAAUGGACAUUUUUUUGGUUCUUCUUGGGUAGUUUUGCUCUUCUCUUUGAAAAGAUGUGGUAUCAUAAAAUUUUUAAAUGUAUUUUUUAUAGCUAUUUUUGUGUGAUCAAAAAGCAGUUUCUUCAAAUUGAAGAAGCAUUCAAAGUAAAUCUCAUUACUUUCCAACUUCAUGCUCUAAGGAUUUUAGUUAGGUUUUAGAGAAGCCAUCUAGGAAUUAAACUUCAUUUGUUUUCUACCAAUGUACCCAUCAUCCUAUGUGGAAACUAGAAUACUGACAAAAACAUUGUAUGUGAAUGAUUGUCUCAUUAUAUCUCCUUUUCACUCCCAUCCUUAACACUGUGUUCAUUAUACCUUUUUUUUAAAAAAAGCAUAUUAAACCAUCAUUAAUUUUUUGGAACUUAUACGAAGAGGUUAGGAAAUCAGUCUUUAUUUGUUAGGAAUAUGUGAUUCUGUAAGAAAUAUAAAACAAUGUAACAAAACGAUGUAGUAUAAAACAAUACUCAGAUGGGGGAGACAGGAAGAAAUAUUAAUCCUUGUUUUGUUUUGUUUUUUGGCUGCGCCUAUGGCGCAUGGAAAUUCCUGGGCCAGGGAUCGAAUCCACGCCACAGCAGAAACCCAGGCCCCUGCCAUGACAAACACUGGAUCAUAAGAGAAUACCGUUAAGUUUUAUGAGAGCUCUGCCAUAGGAGAACUCCUUGGUUUUUAUUUAUGUACUACAAUUUAAUGUUUGACAAGCACGAAUCAAAUUUUCUGACGCUCUAAAAGCAGUUCUACAUUUUACACGGGGAACCUGCUGUCAAAUAAGAACACUAUGUCAUUGGUCAUCUAGAGCUGGGGUAACUAGCCAGUGUUAAUCAAAGAUUGUAGUUAGUUAAUAACGAGUUAUGUGUGUCGGUGAGUCUUCCAUUUGUACUGCACAAAAAGAAAUAAUGCCAGUUUUGAGAGACAGAACAUGGUUCUUCCAACUUACCUUUGAUUUUUGCCAUCAGACGGUUCUAAAAUGUCAUCUCACUAUGAUCUUGAUUUGCAUUUCUCUCAGCCCUGGUGAAAUCCAAUGUUUUUCAUAAAUUAAUUGGUCUUACAUAAUUCCUCUUUUAUAAAAUAGCUAUUUAUGUCUUUCGUCUAUUUGUCUUUUGAAUUUUUUCUUUUUGAUGUGUAGAAGUGUUAUAUUUUUAUGUUUAUGCUAAUGUCAGUCCUGUGUGUUGUAUCUCCCAGCCUCAAUCUUAACAUUUUGCUUUUUGAAGAGUGUUUUGGCAUAACAGAUAUUUUGAUUUUAAGAUGAAAAAAAUGUCAAGUUUGUAUUGCUAGUUCCUUUGUCAUUUUAAGAAAUUUUCUCUACCCAAAGAUUAGAAUAAUAGUUUUCAUGCUGUGCCAGUUGUAUUAAGUAAUGUGUUAACUCAUUAACUGUUAUGUUACACAUGUGAGCCAUAAAAAAUGUGUGAGACACUCUCCUCAAGAGAAAUAAGCCCAUGGACAGAUACAUAGAACACGGUAAGUGCUAUUACAACAUUUAAUAUAUUUUGCAUUUAUAUACUUCCCUAUGACAGGCUUUUGUAAAGUGGAAAAUAUCAGUUUUGCUAACACCUGUGUUUCAAACUUGACUGAAAUAGGUGGGAACAUCUAGUCUACUCAUUUAUCUCUGAUAAUAUUUGAAGAUAUAGAAGAAUUUCUUAAGAAUGAGUCAUAUAUAGCUGAUUAGACAACAGAUUUAUGUGUACAAUUUUUUGUGUAUGGAUUUGAAUAUCCCUUCACCCUUACCUCCCACCAUGAUUCUAAUGUGAACUAGCAAACUGCAGUGUUUGAAUUAUAAAGCUGCAACUGAUUAUAAUUUGAACCGGACCGUCUUUGGUAUGGGUCAUGUUUGUUCUCAUUCCAGUUAAAUGUGUGUGUUUGGAUGUCUACUUCUUGCCUCAUCUUGGGACCCUUGUUACUAGUUUCACUGAAUCCUUAGUUUUUGCCAAUGCACUUGAUCAAAGUGCAGCGUCUGAGUAUGUCAUGGUUAUCUAUACGGAUGGCUUUGAUUACAUCAAGUAUGCUCUGCGAAAUGUAGCUGCCUCCUUUAUUCGUUCGAUGACUGUGAUGCCCUCUCUCUCCUCCUCUCUAAUCUCAGAGUUCUUGAAACUAUUUGAAUUCUCUCCGGUGGCUUCUGGAGAAUUGAUCUCAUGUGUGCUGCCUGUGGGAGGAGAAUGCUUUAAAUCACCUAUAGUGAGAUGUUCCACUUCUUCCUUUAAGUUGCCUAUUAAAGUUGGUCCCUGUGGCACAGGGAAUAUACACACAAGGAUGCAACUUUGAAACAUCGUUAGACUUUCUCCAGUCAGCAAGAAGGCUCUAGCAUUAUAUGUAACCUCAUCAUAUCCGAAUAUCCUUUGUAUUAUGCUGGGAGAGGGGUAAAAGAAACAAAGAGUUACUUAACCUCCGUGGGGUGGACAGAGAAAGCAUCUAAGAAGAGUCAGUAAGAGUUAGCUUUAAGAAGAAAGAAGAGGAAGACAGUGCCACAUGUAGCAACUAUAGUGGAGAAGGCUUUAAAAGAUGGCUCAUUUCCUUUUGUGGCUUAGAAGACACUGAAAUCAUCACCCAGUUAAAAUUCUCAGUGAGGCACCACCAUCACCAUCACCGCUAGAAACCACACUAGCGGUUAGCAUAUGUAAAUAUGAUCUCAUACACAUUUAUUCAAAGUGACAUUCAUAUCAAAAUAGAUCAUUUCACACAAGGGACAAAGGGCAAACAUUGGCCACGAAUUGUGUGCCAAGAGGGUGGUUUUCCAAAAGAAAUUCCCUAAGGUCUUUUUCUUUACUGAGGGCAAAAUGUUCAAAUGCAGGCUCUUGCCACAUGUUUCCCUUCGCACAGAUGGCAGAAAGGUUUGUCUGCAAUGUGGAACUUGUUAAGGGGGGAAGGCCUUCCUGAUAGAGAUCAAGAAGACUGCUUAAAUUUACUUAGUGGUGGAAUGGUUUGUAAUCCAUUUGUGCUUGUGAGUAUAAUGCCUUUAUAAUUACUUGUAAGUAGAUUGAGAGCCUCCAGAAUCAUCUCAAAGAGAAAGACUGCUUAUCUGAUGCUUAAACUUCUGCUAAACACUCCAGACAAUAUAUCCAUUCCCUGUCUAUGUCAUUGAAUUAUGUUUUCCAAAUGCAUCAUUUUAAUUUUGCUACUUUGAUAAUGAAAAUAUUAUUUUGCCGCUCUUUGAAAGAGAGGUCAAGGGCUACACAAGUGUUGCUUUUGGGAAAUGGCUUGAUGGUCUUUCUGGACAAUAGCAUCAAGAUCAACCACCACUAAAAUAUGACUGUCACUAUAACCCCAGGUGCUAUGUUGUAUAGAUGAGGAUGCUCUAGGUUUUGCUAUGGUAACAAUUCCCAAAUAUCAGUGGUUUAAGACAUGUUUAUUUCUCUCUCAUACAAAGUUCAUUCUGUGAAACUUUCCAAGGCAGCUGUCCACCAUGUGUUGGCUCAACAUUCCAGGGUACUUGAAACUUAUGGCACUUCCAUAUCAUCACACACUUUCAUAAUCUCUUAGGCAGAAUGAGAACUGAAUGAUCCAGUACUGACAAUUAAACAUUCCAUCCCCCAAUCACCACAAGUCUGUUCUGUCCAUAACCCAUUAGGAAGGAUUAAUCAUAAGACCCCACCCAUGCCUGCUUAGAAGCUUUUAUCCUCUCUUACACUGAGAAGGGGAGGAAUUGAGUAAAGACAAGUAUUCAAAGUCUACUUUAACAUGAAUUGUUCCAAAUUUGCAAAGCAAAUUAAUGCAGUAGGAAUUAGUGUGUUCAUUUUAAAUAUGAAAGGCAGUGCCUCAGAGUGUGUGUUUGGAGUCAGAAAGUCUUGAAUCCCCAACAUUUGUGGGGGCUCAGGCAAAAUAUAAUCCCUGUUUCUUUUUGUUGAUAUUGGUGUUGUUUUUAAAUUUGGGCAAGAUUAUCUACUUCAUAGAGAUGUUUUGAGGUUUAAAAACAGUCAAUAAAAUGGGUUACAGUUUCUGGUGUAUAAAUGCCCCCCAAAAAAUUUAGCCUGUAUUAUUAGGAGGACACUGAUUAUCAGGGUUAAGAAAUUCAUAUAUAAUGAGAGACCAUUUAUCUCAAAUACUUUAGGGGAACACGUUAACUGAGAAGAUAAAAAUUUUUAACACUGGCCAAACUGGAUUCAGAGCUCACAUUUCUAAUUUCCUACCAUGUCACAAAGACUUUUGUUUUGACAUGGGAUUGUAAAGCACUAUCAGGUUGUCCCAAACCUUCUCUCUCUUUUUUUUAACUUUAUUGGAAUAUAAUUGACUUACAAUGUGUAUUAGUUUCAAGUGUACAGCAAAGUGAAUCAAUUAUACAUAUAGUCAUUCUUUUUUCCUAACUAGAUUAUUAUAGAAUAUGGUGUAGAUUUCCUUGUGCUAUACAAUAGGUCCUUGUUAAUUAUCCAUUUUAUACUUAGUAGUGUGUAUAUGUUAAUCCCAACCUUCUAAUUUAUCUCUUCCCCUCAUGGUUUCCCCUUUGGUAACCAUAAAUUUGAUUCCAAAAUCUGUGAGUUUUUUCUGUUUUAUACAUAAGUUAUUUUGUAUCAUUUUUAUUGGAUUCCUCAUACAAGUGAUACGAUAUUUGUCUUUCUCUGUCCUACUGACUUCACUUAGUAUGAUUAUCUCUAGGUCCAUCCAUGUUGCUACAAAUGGCAUUAUUUCAUUCUUUUUUAUGGCUGAAUAAUAUUCCAUCACACAUGGGUUCUUUAAGAAUAACCUCUAUCCCUAACCCAAUGUCUCCACCUUGGCCUGACCACAUCCACAGAGAGGACUUGGGUUUAGCCACAGUGACUUAAGCAAUCACACCAAAAAAGCAGGAAACAUCAUGUGUUGUGUCAGGAGACUUGGGCUUCAGUCCUAACUUCAAUGCUCAAUAUUUAUGUCGCCUUAGGCAAGUCACUUAAAUUCUCAAUUAUGAAUACAGAAUAGUAGAAGUUUGUGUGUUAAACAAGAUAAAACAACAAAACAAAAAACAAAACAGUGGAAUUUUCAUUCCUACUUCAUAGGGCUAGAGGGAUCAAAUAAAUUAAAAUAUUUAAAACCACUUUGAAAUAUACAAAGGGCCAUACAGUGGAAGUUGUUGCUAUUAGGACGGAAGAGAUUCUGUUUUGUAGAGGAGCAGAGAACAUGAAGACUCAGAUCAGUGUAGUUUACAUGGGUCUGGUUUUGCUGCAAAGACCUAUGGUGAGAACAGUGUAUUUAUCCAAAAGUCCUGAACCCCUAGGUACCUACACACCCUGUUAGCAUCCAGCCUGACUGGCUGUCUGCCUACCAGUCAGCCACUCAGACUGUCUCCUUUCGAAAAUAGAUGACAUGUAUUUCAUUAAUAUUAGCACUGUUUUCCUCUUAGGCAAAAAAUUUCUUAACUAGCAUGCAAAAGCACAGAUAACAAAAUAAAAACCUCUGCUUUUCAAAAUAUACUGUAAGAAAAGGCCCUAUUAAGAAAAUUAAAUGAUAAGUCACAGGCUGGGAGAAAAUAUUUGUAAAAUAUAUAUUUGAAAGAGGACUUGUAUCCAUAAGAUAUAAAGAACUCAUACAAUCAAAAAAGAAAAGAAAAGAAAAAAAGACAAUCUAAUUUGUUUUUAAAAGACAAUCUAAACUCCAUCAAAGAAGAUACGUAAGUGUCCAGUAACACCUGAAAAGAUGUUCUAUGUCAUUGUUAUCAGAGAAGUGCAAAUUAAAACCACAGUGAGAUACACUGCAUAGGGAGUUACCAUCAUGGCAGAAGCAAAUCUGACUAGCAUCAGU